rnacentral:lncRNA from 12 species
GGAAAAGCUGAUAAGGAUCUGGUGAUGGUACAGAAAUGAUUCGAGGGCAUCGCUGCUGAGCUGUCCCCCCCCCCCCCCCCCCCCCCCCCCCCCCCCCCCCCCCCCCCCCCCCCCCCCCCCCCCCCCCCCCCCCCCGGGGGGGGGGGGGGGGGGGAGUUAGAAGGGUGUAAUUGGGAAUUAAUAAAUUCAAACACCAGAUUAGCUGCAAUUAUUAGGCAGCUCCCGAUGAACCGGCUCCCCAGUAGGGUUAGGGUUAGGGUUAGGGUUAGGGUUAGGGUUAGGGUUAGGGUUAGGGUUAGGGUUAGGGUUAGGGUUAGAGUUAGGGUUGGGAUAGGGUUUCGGUGAGGUUUAGGGUUAGGGUUAGGAUUAGGGUAAGGGUUAGGGUUUCUCUUAGGGUUAGGGUUUGGGUUAGGGUUAGGGUAACGUUCAGCAUUAAGAUUAGGGUUAGAGUUAGGGCUGCAGUAAAGGCUAGUUUAGGUUUAGAGUUUGGGUUACGGUUAGGGUUAGUGUUAGGGUUAGGGUAAGGGUUAGGGUUAGGGUUAGGGUAAGGGUUAGGGUUAGGGUUACGGUUACGGUUACGGUUACGGUUACGGUUACGGUGAGGGUUAGUGUUAGGGUUAGGUCUUGGGCUCUGGUUAGGGUUAGAUGUACAUUUAUGGUUAGGGUUGGGGUUAGGGUUAGGGUUAGGUUUAGGGUUUGUGUUAGCGUUAGGGUCAGGGUUACGGUUAGGGUUAGGGUUACAUUUAGUGUUCGGGUUAGGGUUAGGGUUAGGAUUAGGGUUAGGGUUAGGGUAAGGGUUAGGGUUUCUGGUAGUUUUAGGCUUUGGGUUAGGUUUAAGGUAAGGGUUAGGUUUAGAGUAAGGGUUAGGGUUAGUGUUUGGGUUAGGAUUAGGGUUAGGGUCCAGUUUAGGUUUGCGGGUAGGUUUAGGGUUAGGGUUAGGGCUAUGAUUUGGGUAAGGGUUAGAUUUAGGGUAAGGGUUAGGCUUAGGGUCCGUGUUAGAGGUAUGGUUGGGGUUAGGUUUAGGGUUAGGUUUAGGAUUAGCGUUAGGGUUGGGGUUAGUGUUAGGGUUUGGAUUAGGGUUAGGGUAACGUUCAGCAUUAGGAUGAGGGUUAGGUUUAGGGCUGCAGUAAAGGCUAGUUUAGGUUUAGAGUUCGGGUUGAGAUUAGGGUUAGUGUUUGAGUUAGGGUUAAUUUUAGGAUUUCAGUUAGGGUUAGGGUUCGGGUUAGAGGUUAGGGAUAGGGUUGGGGUUAUGGUAAGGGUUAGGGCUUUGGUUUGGAUUAAGGUUAGGGUUAAGGUUAGGGCUAUGAUAUGGGUUAGGGUUCAGUUUAGGGUAAGGGAUAGGGUUAGGGUUUGGGUUAGGAUUAGGGUUAGGGUUCAGUUUAGGUUUAAGGUUAUGUUUAGGUUUAGGGUUAGGAUUAGGGUUAGGGUUAGGGAUAGAGUUAGGGUUAGGGUUAGGGUUAGGGUACGGGUUAGGGUUAGGGUUAGGGUUACGGUUAGGGUUAGGUUUAGGGUUAUGUUUAGGGUUAGCGUUGGAGUCAGGGUUAAUGUCAGGAAUGCCAAAUCCAGGCUCAUUUUAACCCCAAAGCAAGAGCAACCCAUGGUUUAAAGCAUAUUUAUGAUAAAAUUUAUGUCACCUGUUCGCCUGGACAUGGAAGUUUCCAAAGCAGAAAGGAAUUAAGGAGAAAAAAAACACAGGAGGUUAGUGUUAGGUUUAGGGUUAGGGUUAGGAUUUCAAUUAGGGUUAGGAUUAGGGUUAGGUUUAGGGUUAAGGUUCGGUUUAGGGUUAGGGUUAGGGUUAGGGUUAGGGUUAGGGUUUUGGUUAGGGUUAGGUUUAGGGUGAGUGUUAGGGUUAGGGUUAGGUUUAGAGGGAGGGUUAGGAUUAGGGAUUUGGUUAGGGGUAGGGUUAGGGUUUUGGUUAGGGUUAGGGUUAUGGUUAUGUUUCAGUUUAAGGUUAGAGUUAGGGUUAGGUUUAUGGUUAGGGUUAGGGUUAGGGCGAGGGUUAGGGUUAGGGUUGUUACGGUUAGGGUUAGGGUUAGGGUUAGGGUUAGGGUUAGGUUUAGGCUUAGGCUUAGGCUUAGUCUUAAGCUUAGGGUGAGGUUUCGGCUUAGGGUUCGAGUUAGGGUUAGGAUUAGGUUUAGGGUUAGGGUAAUGGGUAGGGUUUGGGUUUGGAUUAGUGUUAGUUUUAGGUUUAGGUCUUGUUCUCUGUUUAGGGUUAGGGUUAGGAAUACGGUUGGGGUUAUGGUAAGGUUUAGGGCUUUUGUUUGGAUUAAGGUUAGGGUAAGGGUUAGGGCUAUGAUAUGGGUUAGGGUUCAGUUUAGGGUAAGGGUUAGUGGUAGGGUUAGGGUUAGGGUUAGGGUUAGGGUUAGGUUUAGGGUUAGGUUUAGGUUUAGCUUUAGGGUCAGGUUAGGGUUAGCGUUAGGAUUAGGGUAAGGCUUAGGGUUUUGGUAAUUGUUCGGGUUUGGGUUAGGGUUAGGUUUAGGUUUAGGGUUAGGGUUAGGGUUAGGGUUAGAGUUAGGGUUCGGGUUACGGCUAUGAUUUGGGUAAGGCUUAGGUUUAGGUUAAGAGUUAGGGUUAGGGUUAGGGUUAGGUUUAGGUUUCGGGUUAGGGUUAGGGUUAGGGUUAGGUUUAGGGUUAGGUUUAGGUUUAGCUUUAGGGUCAGGUUAGGGUUAGCGUUAGGAUUAGGGUAAGGC